GACGUUAAGACCACGCUGGUUUCACUGUCGAAAGAGCUAGUUACUGUCACGAUUAUUAUUCUUUUCUGUGUUUCGUGAAGCCAUUUAUUCAGCUUUUUCAGCUCGUUUUCUGUUCUGAGCUGUCAGUUCAAACCCUAUUCUGAGUGCUUUUGCUUGCCUAGCAUUGGCUUCAUAUCUAUAUUCCCUGUCUGUGUGCAUAUUGGUCUGGGUGACUCCUCACAUUUUCUCGUGUCAUCCCAGACAUCACACGUAUGUCAGUUCACUGUAUGUCAACACAGUUUGAGUCCUACACAUA